rnacentral:rRNA from 1 species
CCUACGGGUGGCAGCAGUGAGGAAUAUUGGUCAAUGGCCGAGAGGCUGAACCAGCCAAGUCGCGUGAGGGAAGACGGCCCUACGGGUUGUAAACCUCUUUUGUCGGGGAGCAAAGCGUACCACGUGUGGUUCAUUGAGAGUACCCGAAGAAAAAGAAUCGGCUAACUCCGUGCCAGCAGCCGCGGUAAUACGGAGGAUGCGAGCGUUAUCCGGAUUUAUUGGGUUUAAAGGGUGCGCAGGCGGAGGUGCAAGUCAGUGGUCAAAUUGCGGGGCUCAACCCCGUACUGCCGUUGAAACUGCAAGCCUUGAGUGCGCUAGAGGUGUGCGGAAUGCGUGGUGUAGCGGUGAAAUGCAUAGAUAUCACGCAGAACUCCGAUUGCGAAGGCAGCAUACCGGCGCGCAACUGACGCUCAGGCACGAAAGCGUGGGUAUCGAACAGGAUUAGAUACCCGGGUAGUC